UACGUAGGGUGCGAGCGUUAAUCGGAAUUACUGGGCGUAAAGCGUGCGCAGGCGGUUAUGCAAGGCAGAUGUGAAAUCCCCGGGCUCAACCUGGGAACUGCAUUUGUGACUGCAUGGCUAGAGUGCGGCAGAGGGGGAUGGAAUUCCGCGUGUAGCAGUGAAAUGCGUAGAUAUGCGGAGGAACACCGAUGGCGAAGGCAAUCCCCUGGGCCUGCACUGACGCUCAUGCACGAAAGCGUGGGGAGCAAACAGG
rnacentral:rRNA from 1 species